AGAGUUUGAUCCUGGCUCAGAACGAACGCUGGCGGCAGGCCUAACACAUACAAGUCGAGCGCAUCCUUCGGGGCGAGCGGCGGACGGGUUAGUAACGCGUGGGAACAUACCCUUUUNUACGGAAUAGCCUCGGGAAACUGAGAGUAAUACCGUAUAAGCCCUUCGGGGGAAAGAUUUAUCGGGAAAGGAUUGGCCCGCGUUAGAUUAGAUAGUUGGUGGGGUAAUGGCCUACCAAGUCUACGAUCUAUAGCUGGUUUUAGAGGAUGAUCAGCAACACUGGGACUGAGACACGGCCCAGACUCCUACGGGAGGCAGCAGUGGGGAAUCUUAGACAAUGGGCGCAAGCCUGAUCUAGCCNUGCCGCGUGUGUGAUGAAGGCCUUAGGGUCGUAAAGCNCUUUCGCUAGGGAUGAUAAUGACNGUACCUAGUAAAGAAACCCCGGCUAACNCCGUGCCAGCAGCCGCGGUAAU
rnacentral:rRNA from 1 species